GGCCCGCGUGGUAGAGCGUACGGUUCGCAUCCGUAAGGUCGAGAGUUCGAUCCUCUUCGUCUCCA
rnacentral:tRNA from 1 species